rnacentral:misc_RNA from 1 species
GAUGAAGAACGUAGCGAAAUGCGAUAAGUAAUGUGAAUUGCAGAAUUCAGUGAAUCAUCGAAUCUUUGAACGCACCUUGCGCCUUUUGGUAUUCCGAAAGGCACACCUGUUUGAGCGUCAUGAAUACCUCAAUCUCCAUCUUUUCUUCGGAUUGAUGGGUGACUUGGAUGUUGAGCCCUGCUGGUAUGCUAUAUCAGCUGGCUUUAAACUUAUUAGCCGGCUCUGUACUGGAUCGGUUUGACUCGACGUGAUAAUAUUAUCGUUGAGGAUGCAUGUCUCAUGCAGCCGGAAAGUAUCAAAGCAGCUUCUAGCUUGCCUUUAAUGCACUUUUACAUUUUAGACCUCAGAUCAGGUGGGACUACCCGCUGAACUUAAGCAUAUCAAUAAGCGGAGGA